rnacentral:rRNA from 1 species
ACUCCUACGGGGAGGCAGCAGUGGGGAAUAUUGCACAAUGGGCGCAAGCCUGAUGCAGCAACGCCGUGUGAGUGAAGAAGGUUUUCGGAUCGUAAAACUCUGUCCUUAAGGGAAGAAACAAAUGACGGUACCUUAGGAGGAAGCCCCGGCUAACUACGUGCCAGCAGCCGCGGUAAUACGUAGGGGGCAAGCGUUAUCCGGAAUCACUGGGCGUAAAGGGUGCGUAGGCGGCUUAGCAAGCCAGGGGUGAAAGGCAUUGGCUCAACCAAUGUAAGCCUUUGGAACUGUUAAGCUUGAGUGCAGGAGAGGUAAGUGGAAUUCCUAGUGUAGAGGUGAAAUUCGUAGAUAUUAGGAGGAACACCAGUGGCGAAGGCGACUUACUGGACUGUAACUGACGCUGAUGCACGAAAGCGUGGGUAGCGAAC